GAGGAAUAUUGGUCAAUGGGCGAGAGCCUGAACCAGCCAUCCCGCGUGCAGGAUGACGGCCCUAGAGGUUGUAAACUGCUUUUCUUCAGGAAGAAUAAGAACUACGUGUAGUUCGAUGACUGUACUGGGGGAAUAAGCAUCGGCUAACUCCGCGCCAGCAGCCGCGGUAAUACGGAGGAUGCAAGCGUUAUCCGGAUUUAUUAGGUUUAAAGGGUGCGUAGGCGGAAACUUAAGUCAGUGGUAAAAGGCAAUAGCUUAACUACUGUAAGCCAUUGAUACUGGGUUUCUUGAGUAUGGUAGAGGUAGGCGGAAUGUGUUGUGUAGCGGUGAAAUGCAUAGAUAUAACACAGAACACCGAUUGCGAAGGCAGCUUACUAUGCCAUCACUGACGCUGAUGCACGAAAGCGUGGGGAUCAAAC
rnacentral:rRNA from 1 species